UACAGAGGUCUCAAGCGUUGUUCGGAUUCAUUGGGCGUAAAGGGUGCGUAGGUGGCGCUGUAAGUCGGGUGUGAAAUUUCGGAGCUUAACUCCGAAACUGCAUUCGAUACUGCGGUGCUUGAGGACUGGAGAGGAGACUGGAAUUCAUGGUGUAGCAGUGAAAUGCGUAGAGAUCAUGAGGAAGACCAGUGGCGAAGGCGGGUCUCUGGACAGUUACUGACGCUGAGGCACGAAGGCCAGGGGAGCAAACGGG
rnacentral:rRNA from 1 species